rnacentral:rRNA from 1 species
CCGCCUGGGGAGUACGGCCGCAAGGUUAAAACUCAAAUGAAUUGACGGGGGCCCGCACAAGCGGUGGAGCAUGUGGUUUAAUUCGAUGCAACGCGAAGAACCUUACCUGGUCUUGACAUCCACAGAACUUUCCAGAGAUGGAUUGGUGCCUUCGGGAACUGUGAGACAGGUGCUGCAUGGCUGUCGUCAGCUCGUGUUGUGAAAUGUUGGGUUAAGUCCCGCAACGAGCGCAACCCUUAUCCUUUGUUGCCAGCGAUUAGGUCGGGAACUCAAAGGAGACUGCCAGUGAUAAACUGGAGGAAGGUGGGGAUGACGUCAAGUCAUCAUGGCCCUUACGACCAGGGCUACACACGUGCUACAAUGGCGCAUACAAAGAGAAGCGACCUCGCGAGAGCAAGCGGACCUCAUAAAGUGCGUCGUAGUCCGGAUUGGAGUCUGCAACUCGACUCCAUGAAGUCGGAAUCGCUAGUAAUCGUGGAUCAGAAUGCCACGGUGAAUACGUUCCCGGGCCUUGUACACACCGCCCGUCACACCAUGGGAGUGGGUUGCAAAAGAAGUAGGUAGCUUAACCUUCGGGAGGGCGCUUACCACUUUGUGAUUCAUGACUGGGGUGAAGUCGUAACAAGGUAACCGUAGGGGAACCUGCGGUUGGAUCACCUCCUUACCUUAAAGAAGC